UACGUAGGGUGCGAGCGUUGUCCGGAAUUAUUGGGCGUAAAGAGCUUGUAGGCGGUUUGUCGCGUCUGCUGUGAAAAUCCGGGGCUCAACCCCGGACUUGCAGUGGGUACGGGCAGACUAGAGUGUGGUAGGGGAGACUGGAAUUCCUGGUGUAGCGGUGAAAUGCGCAGAUAUCAGGAGGGAACACCGGUGGGCGAAGGCGGGUCUCUGGGCAGUAACUGACGC
rnacentral:rRNA from 1 species